AGAUUAAGUUAUUAAGGGCGCACGGUGGAUGCCUUGGCACUAGAAGCCGAAGAAGGACGUUACUAACGACGAUAUGCUUUGGGUAGCUGUAAGUAAGCGUUGAUCCAGAGAUUUCCGAAUGGGGGAACCCAACAUGAGUUAUGUCAUGUUAUCGACAUGUGAAUUCAUAGCAUGUCAGAAGGCAGACCCGGAGAACUGAAACAUCUUAGUACCCGGAGGAAGAGAAAGAAAAAUCGAUUCCCUGAGUAGCGGCGAGCGAAACGGGAAGAGCCCAAACCAACAAGCUUGCUUGUUGGGGUUGUAGGACACUCUAUACGGAGUUACAAAAGAACAUGUUAGACGAAUCAUCUGGAAAGAUGAAUCAAAGAAGGUAAUAAUCCUGUAGUCGAAAACAUAUUCUCUCUUGAGUGGAUCCUGAGUACGACGGAGCACGUGAAAUUCCGUCGGAAUCUAGGAGGACCAUCUCCUAAGGCUAAAUACUCUCUAGUGACCGAUAGUGAACCAGUACCGUGAGGGAAAGGUGAAAAGUACCCCGGAAGGGGAGUGAAAGAGAACUUGAAACCGUGUGCUUACAAGUAGUCAGAGCCCGUUUAUGGGUGAUGGCGUGCCUUUUGUAGAAUGAACCGGCGAGUUACGAUCUGAUGCAAGGUUAAGCAGCGAAUGUGGAGCCGUAGCGAAAGCGAGUCUGAAUAGGGCGUUGAGUAUUUGGUCGUAGACCCGAAACCAGGUGAUCU
rnacentral:rRNA from 1 species